rnacentral:lncRNA from 1 species
UGCACCCAAAUUAUGACAAAAAGACACGAAUUGCGGUGGAACUCAUAUUAUUAAUUUUCAUAUAAUACAUGUAUACAUCGAUCGUUGUAUUUUUUUUAAGACAGUCAAGCGUGUCUUACUAUUAAAAGUAAAACAAACAAGACAUUAGAACAUGAUUGGUAAUUGGAACAUUUAAACAAAGCGUGCAUGCAUGAGAAUUAGCAUAAUGGGAUAUCUCAAUGCUGCUAUUUUGCAUGCAUGGUAGUAUGCAGAUGAUGUUGCGCGUGAAUAGGUGUUUAAGGCACCACUUAGGCACCAUUUUUGUUGGCGGCCUGCUGAGAGAUGGCCCCGUACUUCAUUGCAUCAGCCUCAGAUUUCACGGCAUCCUUCUUAGCGGGUGGUGCCUCUUCAGGUCUGGUGGCGGUUUCAGCCUUCUUGUUGGACUUCUCGGCAGCAGCUAUGCACGCAUCUGCCAAGGUACCGACAGCUUCUUUCCUGUUGGGGGUGGUAGAAGAACUUGUACCAGCUGCUUGCUGAGAAAUGACACCAUACUUUGAUGCAGCAGCGGUAGACUUGGCUGCAGCUCGCUUGGCAGCCACGGCCUCUUCAGGUGUGGUAGCGGUUUCAGCCUUCUUGGUGAUCAUCUUACCAUCAGCAGUGUGCAUAGCUGCCAAGUCAGUGGUGGCUUCUUUCCUAUUGGGGGCGGUAGAAGAACUUGUACCAGCUGCUUUCCGAGAGAUGGCACCAUACUUUAAUGAAUCGUCAACAGACUUUGUUGCGUCUCGCUUGGCAGCCACGACCUUUUCAGGUGUCGUGGCGGUUUCAGCCUUCUUGAUGGACUUCUCGGUGGCAGCAUAGUGUGCGGCAGCUAAAGUACCGGCUGCUUCUUUCCUGCCUGGGGAGAUAGAAGAACCUUUACCAUUUGCCUGCUGAGAGAUGGCAUUGUACUUUAAUACAGCAGAAGCAGAUUUUGCUCCAUCUUGCUUGGCAGCCACGUCCUCUUUUGGUGUGGUGGCGCUUUCAGCCUUCUUGAUGGACUUCUCGGUGGCAACAACACGUGUAGCUGCUAAUGUAGCGUCAACCCCUUUCCUGCUAGGGGUAGCCAUCUUCAAUGUGUUCUCCUCCGCAGCGCCAUAGGU